rnacentral:lncRNA from 1 species
CACAGGACUGGGAGAUGAUCACAAACCAGCUGUAAACUUCCAGAUUCUAUACACUGGCCCUUACCCCAGGCAGCCGAGCGAUGACCUUCCCCAGACAGUGAGCUGGCUGGCCAGGUCCGCCAACGAAGGACUCUGGGAAAAUCACAGGCAUUGAUCCUCUUUCAUAACUGGAAGCCUCACACAAAAGCUCUUGGUUUUGGAGAUCAAACUGAGGUCAUCUGACUUGUUGAUCAGUGCCUUAGCGGCUAAGUCUAAUCCCCCAAAUACAUGACUGACAGUACUACGCUAAUGAAAUCAACCUUCUGUAACCUCAGCAAAGUCAAGGCUAGUUUGCCAGUCCUCAGAAGCAAGGUGUGACAACAUAACUUUAACCCCAAUAACUGAAUCACAAAUUUGAGGCCAGCCUAGGCUGCAUAGCAAGACCCAAUAAAUAAAUAAUUUCUUAUCCCCAAAGGGGCUAAUAAUGAACCAUGUAUCUAGAAUGUGGAGGUUGGCAAUAUACUGACUACCACCCAGCAAUAGUCAAAACCAAUCCCUAAGCCAGAGCUAUCAGUCAGCUGCAUUAAGAACGCCAAGGAAGCAGAGCUGUUGAGCAGAGGGCGCGACGCUGUGUUCCAUUCUUUUUGUUUGGCAAAAGUAUAUCAAAUUCAUAAACACAGAGAUGAGAGCGAAACCUAAGGCAGAGUGAAUACUUUCAUAGCAGGGCAGGGAUCAGAGAGGUGGAUUGUGGGAAGGAAGCCUCUUUGCCCAUUGUAAUGACCCACACCUUUAAUCCCAGCAUUUGAGGCAGAUGGGACUCUGAGGUCAGUCUGGGUCACUUGUCAGCUACUCAUUAUCAGUUCUAGGGCUAUGUAGUGAGACUGCUUCAAAACUGAACAGCCCUUCUUCCACUGCUGAGUGGAAGCUCAGUGCUGGGCAAGGGCAGAAAUGAGCACCCGGCAUGUAGCUAUAACCCCAGAUCCAUUAGGCUAGGGUGGAAGGAUCCUAGGUUUCAAGGCCAAUCUAGAUUGCUUCGGGAGCUCUCACAGGCAAAUGACAUGCACCGUGCAGACAUUCAGUAGCUGACUUAAACUGACAACAAUCAAACAGCCACUUAGCUGGCUAAGCCAUUGAGGAGAACAAGAUGGCUAGGCCUGCAAGAAUGCUCAUUUAGACUGAGGCAGGGCGGGGAGAGGGCAGAUUUCCUUUACAGAGUCCGACCAGUCACAAGGAAGAAAUGACAAGAAAAGGUGUCUUAUCAUGGACAAAAGAAUAGUGGACAUAAUUUACAAAAAAAAAUAUAUUUUCAGCGCUGAAAAUAGUUUCCUUGGU